rnacentral:rRNA from 1 species
UACGUAGGUUCCAAGCGUUACCCGGUUUUAUUGGGCGUAAAGCGUCUGUAGGUUGUUUUUUAAGUCUUAUUUCAAAGACUCCGGCUCAACCGGAGAAAGGGGUAGGAUACUGGAAGACUAGAGUGAUAUCGGGGUUACUGGAAUUUAUAGUGUAGGGGUAAAAUCCGUGGAUACUAUAAAGAACACCAAGCGCGAAGGCGGGUAACUAGGUAUAUACUGACACUGAGAGACGAAAGCUAGGGGAGCAAAUCAG